GAGGGUACAGUUUAGUGGCAGAGUGCCUGCUUAGCACGCAUGAGGUCCUGGGUUCAAUCCCCAGUACCUCCA
rnacentral:tRNA from 1 species